GGGCGUUAAGUUGCAGGGUAUAGACCCGAAACCCGGUGAUCUAGCCAUGGGCAGGUUGAAGGUUGGGUAACACUAACUGGAGGACCGAACCGACUAAUGUUGAAAAAUUAGCGGAUGACUUGUGGCUGGGGGUGAAAGGCCAAUCAAACCGGGAGAUAGCUGGUUCUCCCCGAAAGCUAUUUAGGUAGCGCCUCGUGAAUUCAUCUCCGGGGGUAGAGCACUGUUUCGGCAAGGGGGUCAUCCCGACUUACCAACCCGAUGCAAACUGCGAAUACCGGAGAAUGUUAUCACGGGAGACACACGGCGGGUGCUAACGUCCGUCGUGAAGAGGGAAACAACCCAGACCGCCAGCUAAGGUCCCAAAGUCAUGGUUAAGUGGGAAACGAUGUGGGAAGGCCCAGACAGCCAGGAUGUUGGCUUAGAAGCAGCCAUCAUUUAAAGAAAGCGUAAUAGCUCACUGGUCGAGUCGGCCUGCGCGGAAGAUGUAACGGGGCUAAACCAUGCACCGAAGCUGCGGCAGCGACGCUUAUGCGUUGUUGGGUAGGGGAGCGUUCUGUAAGCCUGCGAAGGUGUGCUGUGAGGCAUGCUGGAGGUAUCAGAAGUGCGAAUGCUGACAUAAGUAACGAUAAAGCGGGUGAAAAGCCCGCUCGCCGGAAGACCAAGGGUUCCUGUCCAACGUUAAUCGGGGCAGGGUGAGUCGACCCCUAAGGCGAGGCCGAAAGGCGUAGUCGAUGGGAAACAGGUUAAUAUUCCUGUACUUGGUGUUACUGCGAAGGGGGGACGGAGAAGGCUAUGUUGGCCGGGCGACGGUUGUCCCGGUUUAAGCGUGUAGGCUGGUUUUCCAGGCAAAUCCGGAAAAUCAAGGCUGAGGCGUGAUGACGAGGCACUACGGUGCUGAAGCAACAAAUGCCCUGCUUCCAGGAAAAGCCUCUAAGCAUCAGGUAACAUCAAAUCGUACCCCAAACCGACACAGGUGGUCAGGUAGAGAAUACCAAGGCGCUUGAGAGAACUCGGGUGAAGGAACUAGGCAAAAUGGUGCCGUAACUUCGGGAGAAGGCACGCUGAUAUGUAGGUGAAGUCCCUCGCGGAUGGAGCUGAAAUCAGUCGAAGAUACCAGCUGGCUGCAACUGUUUAUUAAAAACACAGCACUGUGCAAACACGAAAGUGGACGUAUACGGUGUGACGCCUGCCCGGUGCCGGAAGGUUAAUUGAUGGGGUUAGCGCAAGCGAAGCUCUUGAUCGAAGCCCCGGUAAACGGCGGCCGUAACUAUAACGGUCCUAAGGUAGCGAAAUUCCUUGUCGGGUAAGUUCCGACCUGCACGAAUGGCGUAAUGAUGGCCAGGCUGUCUCCACCCGAGACUCAGUGAAAUUGAACUCGCUGUGAAGAUGCAGUGUACCCGCGGCAAGACGGAAAGACCCCGUGAACCUUUACUAUAGCUUGACACUGAACAUUGAGCCUUGAUGUGUAGGAUAGGUGGGAGGCUUUGAAGUGUGGACGCCAGUCUGCAUGGAGCCGACCUUGAAAUACCACCCUUUAAUGUUUGAUGUUCUAACGUGGACCCGUAAUCCGGGUUGCGGACAGUGUCUGGUGGGUAGUUUGACUGGGGCGG
rnacentral:rRNA from 1 species